GGAUGGAUUGCAAUAUAUACACAGGGACAUGUUGGUACAAGGUCUCUUUCAUUCUGCUCUGUGGUUCUGCAGACAAAAGCCUAUUGGUAAUUAAUUCUCUCUGGCAGUUCUCCAGUUCCUCCUCAGUUUGAGUUACUUGUCUGUUGCCUCCUCCCACUUUCCUAGAGUUGAAUCUGACUCUUAUUAUUUGGGAGCCAAAAACUCUGUCUAUAAACCUGCCUGCAAAUUUUUGGUCUUAUGGUCCUGUGGCUUCUUUGAGACUUUGGUUCGGUUUGGGAGAAAACGUUCCUUGGAAUGCAGUAAGAGAACUGCAGAUGGGACUGUCUAAUUGCAGGAAAACAAGCACAGGCCUCCCCCUGAUUCUACGUUAUGCUGGAGCACAGUGGUGUGAUCAUGGCUCACUGUGGUCUCGACCUCCUGGCUCAAACAAUCCUCCUGACUAAGCCUCUCAAGUAGCUGGGACAACAGGUAUGCACCAUCAUGCUUGGCUAAUUUUUCUAUUUUUUUGUAGAAGUAGGGUCUUGCUGUGUUGCCCAGGCUGGUCUCAAACUCCCGGCCUCAUGCAGUCCUUCU
rnacentral:lncRNA from 1 species